AUGGCGCGUUCUACUUCUCCUUCUCCUUGCUUGCUAUGCAGAGUUGCGAUCCUUGCUCUCAUAUGCUGCUCCUUGUCAUGCUUGGCUGCGUCUGGAGAUGCUCUUGAUGGAUACCGUAGGCCAAGGCGUCCUCCCGCGCCGAAGCCCCUGCAACCUCACACUCCUCACACUCCAACUCCACCAGUUCCAUCUCGGCCACCGCCGACGCCGGUGCCUGGGAGGCCGAUGACUCCAGCUCCCACACCAUGUCCUGUGGUCCUUGUUCCUCCGCCGCCACCUCCAACGCCCCUGCCCAAAUACCCGGUGACUCCAACUCCAGUAGUGAUUCCUUCGGUCCCUAUUUGUCCGCCACCACCACCGCCGCCGGUGCAGGAGACGCCGGCACUUGCGCCGCACCGCAAGACUCUAGAGCACGCUACUAAGAACGUGCUUAAUUAA
rnacentral:rRNA from 1 species